rnacentral:rRNA from 1 species
GACGAACGCUGGCGGCGUGCUUAACACAUGCAAGUCGAACGGUGAAAGCGGAGCUUGCUCCGCUGGAUCAGUGGCGAACGGGUGAGUAACACGUGGGCAACCUGCCCCUCACUUCGGGAUAACUCCGGGAAACCGGGGCUAAUACCGGAUAUGACCUCCUUGGGCAUCCUUGGAGGUGGAAAGUUUUUCGGUGAGGGAUGGGCCCGCGGCCUAUCAGCUUGUUGGUGAGGUAGUGGCUCACCAAGGCGACGACGGGUAGCCGGCCUGAGAGGGCGACCGGCCACACUGGGACUGAGACACGGCCCAGACUCCUACGGGAGGCAGCAGUGGGGAAUAUUGCGCAAUGGGCGAAAGCCUGACGCAGCAACGCCGCGUGUGGGAUGACGGCCUUCGGGUUGUAAACCGCUUUCAGCAGGGAAGAAGCCGCAAGGUGACGGUACCUGCAGAAGAAGCACCGGCUAACUACGUGCCAGCCGCCGCCGUAA